GAUGAACGCUGGCGGCGUGCCUAAUACAUGCAAGUCGAGCGAACGGACGAGAAGCUUGCUUCUCUGAUGUUAGCGGCGGACGGGUGAGUAACACGUGGAUAACCUACCUAUAAGACUGGGAUAACUUCGGGAAACCGGAGCUAAUACCGGAUAAUAUUUUGAACCGCAUGGUUCAACAGUGAAAGACGGUCUUGCUGUCACUUAUAGAUGGAUCCGCGCUGCAUUAGCUAGUUGGUAAGGUAACGGCUUACCAAGGCAACGAUGCAUAGCCGACCUGAGAGGGUGAUCGGCCACACUGGAACUGAGACACGGUCCAGACUCCUACGGGAGGCAGCAGUAGGGAAUCUUCCGCAAUGGGCGAAAGCCUGACGGAGCAACGCCGCGUGAGUGAUGAAGGUCUUCGGAUCGUAAAACUCUGUUAUUAGGGAAGAACAAAUGUGUAAGUAACUGUGCACGUCUUGACGGUACCUAAUCAGAAAGCCACGGCUAACUACGUG
rnacentral:rRNA from 1 species